UCUUCGUUGGUGAACCAGCGGAGGGAUUAUUACAGAGUUAUCUAACUUCCAAACCCAUGUGAUCUUACCAUUUGUUGCCUCGGCAGAGCCUACCCGGUAACUGUUCGGAGAAGCUACCCUGUAGCUACCCUGUAACGGCCUACCCUGUAACGCACUGCCGGUGGACUUUUAAACUAUUGUUAUAUUAUCGUAAUCUGAGCGUCUUAUUUUAAUAAGUCAAACCUUUCAACAACGGAUCUCUUGGUUCUGGCAUCGAUGAAGAACGCAGC
rnacentral:misc_RNA from 1 species